CGGCUCCGAUGCGUCACUUCCGGCGCCGCGAAGUGCCGUCACUUCCGGCCAUACAGAGCGCGGCGGCGAACGGCGGUGAGCGGCGGCGGCGGCGGCGGCGGCGGGACCCCCCCGGACGGGCCCGGCCUUCCUAUAGGGGCCCUUCCUAUAGGGGCCCUUCCGGCUCCUUCUCCCGAAUUCCCGCCAUCUCCUCGGCCGGAUCGAGCCGGUCCCGCCUUUCCGGCCCGGCUGCUCCGUCAUCCCGCCCCGGCGCCGCCUUCGCCUGGAAGCUCCGGCCCCUCUGCGACGCCGGCACCCGGCAUCCGCUUCUCCCGGCUCCGAAAUGCCGUCGGGGUCCGGCUCUCCGGGAUCCAGCACCACUGGGAUCUGGCUCUCUGGGAUCCAGCACCACCAGGAUCCAGCUCUCCUGGAUCUGGAUCUCUGGGAUCCGACUCUCCGGCCCCAGGAGCCCCCGGAGACUCCGAAAGCGCCGCGGGGGGGGAAGGUUUCCCGGGAAGGAGGAGGAGGAGGAGGAAGAGCCUGGCGUGUCCCGAGCUGCCCGGCCUCAGCGCCGGCGCCCCAAUAAACCCGGCUCUGCCUGGCGCCGCCUCGUCCUUGCCGCGGCCGUGUGUCCCCUCCCACGUCCGUGUGUCCCCUCCCUGUGUCCGUGUCCCCCCGUGUCUGUGUGUCCCCUCCCUGUGUCCGUGUCUGUCCAUGUCCGUUUGUCCCUGCCUGCAUCCUCCCAACUGUCCCUGUCUCUGUCUGUCCAUGUCCCCAUGUCCCUCUGUGUUGUCCGUGUCCCUGUGUCCAUGUCCAUGCCUGUGUCCUCCUGUCUGUCCCCAUGUCUGUGUCCGUGUGUCCAUGCGUGUCCAUGUCCCUGUGUUCCUCUUGUCCCUGCCUGCGUCCUCCUGUCUGUCCCGGUGUCUGUGUGUCCGUGUCUCUGUCCUCCCGUCUGUCCCUGUGUCCCCAUGCCCAUCUCCCCUGGGUCCGUGUGCCCCUGUGUCCAUGUGUCCCCAUGUCCGUCUCCCCCACGUCCCUGUGUCUGUGUGUCCCUGUCCUCCUGUCUGUCCCGGUGUCCCCAUGUCCGUCUCCCCCAUGUCCCUGUGUCUGUGUGUCCCUGUCCUCCUGCCUGUCCCGGUGUCUGUGUGUCCUUCCGUUGGUCCCCAUGUCCCUGUAUCCCCACAGUCCACGCGUUCCUCUGCGCUGCCCGUGUCCCCGCGUCCGUCCCCGUGUCCCGCCCGUCCCUGUGUCCGUGUGUCCCUGCCCGUGUCCUGCCGUCCGGGUGUGUCCCCACGCGUCACCCGGCUCCGGCUGCGCCCUCGCCGCUCACGUGCCGGGGCCGGGGAGGGCGGCGCCGUCAUCCCGUCACUCGGCGUCGCUCGGUGUUGCUCAGCGUCGCCUGUUGUCACUCGGUGUCACCCGCCGUCACCCGGUUGUCACC
rnacentral:lncRNA from 1 species